UACGUAGGUGGCGAGCGUUGUCCGGAUUUAUUGGGCGUAAAGGGCGCGCAGGUGGUGCGGCAAGUCCGUCGUGAAAUCUCCCGGCUCAACUGGGAGGGUGCGGCGGGGACUGCCGGACUAGAGGCACUCAGAGGCCGGUGGAAUUCCCGGUGUAGUGGUGAAAUGCGUAGAGAUCGGGAGGAACACCCAGUGGCGAAGGCGGCGACCUGGUCG
rnacentral:rRNA from 1 species